rnacentral:lncRNA from 1 species
CUGCCUGUGAAAUGGUUAUUUUAAGGAAAUUUUGCAGUUUUUGGUUAUUAUCUUGAAUACUAUUAUAGAUAGAGAUAAACUGUAAACAGCAAUAAUGUUCAGCAAAGAAAGACCUACAAAUAAGUCAACAUGACCAAAAUGGUCAGUCGACCCCUUAAGGAGUAAUUGCCCUUUAUAGUCAAUUUUUAACAACUUUUCGUCAUUUUUUGUUACUUUUCUAAAAAUCUUCUUCUCUGAAACUACUUUGCCAAAUUUAACCAAACUUGGCCACAAUUAUCAUUGUGGUUUAUAGUUUAUAAAAUGUGUCCGAUGACCCAGCCUACCAAACAAAAUGGCCGACAUGGCUAAAAUUAGAACAUAGUGGUAAAAUGCAGUUUUUGCUUUAUAUCUUUGAAACUAAGACAUUUAGGGCAAAUCUUUCAAGAUUUUAAUGUCCAUCAGAUUAAGAUAUAUCCCCUCACAAAUUUUCAAUUGAAUCGGACAACCUGUUGUCGGGUUGCUGCCCUAAAAUUGGUGAUUUUAAGGAAAUUUUGCAGUUUUUGGUUAUUAUCUUGAAUACUAUUAUAGAUACAGAUAAACUGUAAACAGCAAUAAUGUUCAGCAAAGUAAGAUCUACAAAUAAGUCAGCAUGAUCAAAAUUGUUAGAGGACCC